CCUACGGGAGGCAGCAGUGAGGAAUAUUGGGCAAUGGGCGCAAGCCUGACCCAGCCAUGCCGCGUGAAGGAUGAAUGCCCUAUGGGUUGUAAACUUCUUUUGUACGGGACGAAUCUCUCGAACGUGUUCGGGACUGACUGUACCGUACGAAUAAACAUCGGCUAACUCCGUGCCAGCAGCCGCGGUAAUACGGAGGAUGCAGGCGUUAUCCGGAUUCAUGGGGGUUAAAGGGUACGUAGGCGUCAGUGGUGAAAGCCUGCGGCUUAACCGGAGAAUUGCCAUUGAUACUGUUUUGCUUGAGUAUAGUUGAGGUGGGCGGAAUGUGUAAUGUAGCGGUGAAAUGCUUAGAUAUUACACAGAACACCAAUUGCGAAGGCAGCUCACUAAGCUGUUACUGACGCUGAGGCACGAAAGCGUGGGGAGCAAACAGGAUUAGAUACCCUGGUAGUC
rnacentral:rRNA from 1 species